AAUGUUAACGAGGUAGAAAACAUACCUGCAUUCCUGCGUUAAAGCCAACAGGACAGCAGUAACAAUGGCUAAAAACAACCACCACCACCACCCCAAAACAAAGUCAAACAGAAGAAAUGAAGAAAUUCUGGCAAUGACAGCAAUUGAUGCAUUAAGCGUAACGAAGUGGCUGACUUCAAGUAGAGCUCUUCCUCAUUUGAAAGCUUGUUAACAGCUGAACACAAUUAAUGGGCAAUAAAUUAGCGUGUACCUGAUCUCCCUUUUGAAGUUUUGUUUUACAUCUUCUACAGAGCUUCCAAACAAGGUUUAAAUUUGUGUGGGAUGGGAAAGACAAAAAUACAUAGCUGGGAGGUAUUUCACGUUUUCUUUCAGAAGGCUGUUAGAGGACAGACCAACUGGAUGAAGUGGCUGUACUUCAGAUGCACUGCGAGGGUGAGCUUUAGUGAGCCGCGUCACUACCCAUAUGUCUGUAUUUUCUUGAUAUCAGUCAUAAAGCAUACAGUCAAACAAACCGUGGAAGGUGGUGAACAGCGAGACGGGAGGAAUGUACACAGCAAUGAGACAUAAGUUAAGAGAAUAAACAGUGAGGAUCUUUCCGUACCCACUUUUGAAAAU
rnacentral:lncRNA from 1 species